GGUGAGAUGGCCGAGUUGGUUGUAAGUUAUCCUCAACAGCCAAUUUCCAAGAAGUCUCCAAUAUUAACAGUCCACACAGAUGGCGCCAGGUUAAGGUCACACCUUAAUACAAUCAUCUGAUUCCUGGUCACGAAAGUGGCGUGGGUUCGAGUCCCACUCUCAUCA
rnacentral:tRNA from 1 species